rnacentral:lncRNA from 1 species
CUCUCCGACUACUCACCCCGAGUGUAAAGAACCUUCGGCUCGCGUGCUUCUGAGCUGCUGUGGAUGGCCUCGGCUCUCUGGACUGUCCUUCCGAGUAGGAUGUCACUGAGAUCCCUCAAAUGGAGCCUCCUGCUGCUGUCACUCCUGAGUUUCUUUGUGAUGUGGUACCUCAGCCUUCCCCACUACAAUGUGAUAGAACGCGUGAACUGGAUGUACUUCUAUGAAAUCCAUUUGGAUGUCUGUCAACUGAGACGUGUGAUUGCAGCCCAUGGCUUUUCUUCCAAGGAGAUCAUCACUUUUUGGCAGGUCAUGCUAAGGAACACCACAUGCCAUUAUUAACUUCACAUUCUACAAAAAGCCUAGAAGGACAGGAUACUUUGUGGAAAGUGUUAAAUAAAGUAGGUACUGUGGAAAAUUCAUGGGGAGGUCAGUGUGCUGGCUUACACUGAACUGAAACUCAUGAAAAACCCAGACUGGAGACUGGAGGGUUACACUUGUGAUUUAUUAGUCAGGCCCUUCAAAGAUGAUAUGUGGAGGAAUUAAAUAUAAAGGAAUUGGAGGUUUUUGCUAAAGAAAUUAAUAGGACCAAACAAUUUGGACAUGUCAUUCUGUAGACUAGAAUUUCUUAAAAGGGUGUUACUGAGUUAUAAGCUCACUAGGCUGUAAAAACAAAACAAUGUAGAGUUUUAUUUAUUGAACAAUGUAGUCACUUGAAGGUUUUGUGUAUAUCUUAUGUGGAUUACCAAUUUAAAAAUAUAUGUAGUUCUGUGUCAAAAAACUUCUUCACUGAAGUUAUACUGAACAAAAUUUUACCUGUUUUUGGUCAUUUAUAAAGUACUUCAAGAUGUUGCAGUAUUUCACAGUUAUUAUUAUUUAAAAUUACUUCAACUUUGUGUUUUUAAAUGUUUUGACGAUUUCAAUACAAGAUAAAAAGGAUAGUGAAUCAUUCUUUACAUGCAAACAUUUUCCAGUUACUUAACUGAUCAGUUUAUUAUUGAUACAUCACUCCAUUAAUGUAAAGUCAUAGGUCAUUAUUGCAUAUCAGUAAUCUCUUGGACUUUGUUAAAUAUUUUACUGUGGUAAUAUAGAGAAGAAUUAAAGCAAGAA